UGACCUGCUAAAGGUAAAAGGUACUUAAAUGAAAGAAAUAUUUUCUUCAUUCUGUUGUCAUUUCUUUCCUAAACAAAGUAAUGGAGGCCAUUCAAAGAGAAACACUCGUCUCACUGUCAAACUCUGUGAAGCUGUUGUUAGAAAAGAUUGUUUCUAUCUACAGGUUCCGGAUCACGAAUGGUAGCGCUUCACUCUUGGAAAAGGUGAAGCACACACUGGUGGAUCUUCAAGAUCUACUUUAUUACGCUAACAACAGACUCAUCCCCAGUCAAGCUAACAACAAAUCGCUGGAUAUGCUGAGACGUGCUGUUUUUCAAAUUUCCAGUUUGCUUUACCAAACUGAUUUUUUACGGAGAAUUAAUCUGUAUCCACAUCGGAAAAGUCCACAUCGGAACAGUGAAGAAGACUUCGUAUCAAUUUCUUUGAGGGCUGUGGAAACUACUAAUAUGUGUGAGGGAUGGAGCAGACAUGUCAAAUAUAAGUUUUCUGUUUUCAAUCAAUUGGAUUCCAACAUGACAAUCACUGACACAAGAGAAUCAAUUCUCCACGAAUUCAAUGAACAUCACCUCAACUGGGGUUACUCUCCUUUCAUGCCUUUGGUUGAGCUGUGUGAUCCAGAAAAGAGAUUUGUUGUAAAGGAUACUUGUAUUAUUGGUGUUGAGGUAUUUGUUAGUAAAUCAACAAAUGAGAAUCAAACUGUUUCCUUAAUCUCUACAAGUCAAACAAGCCACAAGGAAGUUGAAUUUCCAUUGCACGAGCCGGAUGUUCAAGACCCGAAAUUGGUGAUUUGAAAAUUCUUGUAAUGAUUGUUUAUGGCUACCCUUUGGAAAAUUGGAUAAUUUGAAAGAACUCAUUAUUGAAGGAAUGCAAUCAGUGGAGACAAUUGGUAUUGAGUUCUAUGGAAGUGGUGGUUCUUCAUUUCAACCAUUUCCCUCUUUGGAGAGUCUACACUUUGAGAAUAUGGAAGAGUGGAAGGAAUGGGACUUAAUUGGAGAUACGACUACAACGUUUCCUAAUCUAAAAACUUUAUCUCUAAGAAAGUGCCCGAAACUGAUAGCCGGAAACAUAACUAAAAAAUUUCCUUUCUUAAUUGAGCUUGAGUUAAGAGAAUGUCCUUUAUUGGUGCAUUCAAUUCCAUUAUCUGAUCAUGUAUUUGGGCAACUGAUGUUCCCUCUGAAUUCUCUUCAACAGCUGACUAUAGAUAGUUUUCCAUCUCUGAUGUCGUUCCCAACAAACGGUCUACCAAAAACCUUGAAACUUCUCAUUAUCAGUAAUUGUGAGAAUCUAGAAUUCCUUCCUCACGAUAACUUGCAUAAUUAUACAUCGCUUGAGGAAUUGAAAAUAUCUUAUAGCUGUAAUUCAUUGAUAUCAUUUACCUUAGGCACUCUCCCUGUCCUCAAGAGUCUAUUUAUUGAAGGUUGUAUAAAUUUGAAAUCAAUAUUAAGUGCAGAAGACGAGUCGGAAAAGAGUCUCUCAUUUCUUAGAAGCGUCAAAAUAUGGGAUUGUAAUGAACUGGAGUCAUUUCCCCAGGUGAAUUGGCAACUCCAAACCUCGUUUAUAUUGCACUGUGAAAGUGUGAGAAACUUCUUUCAUUGCCAGAAACAAUGAACAAUCUAGCUGGACUUCAAGAAAUGGAAAUUGAUAAUCUACCAAAUCUUCAAUCUUUUGUCAUAGAUGAAUUACCUAGCCGUUUACAGAAACUGUCUGUUGGCUUUGUUGGUGGGAUUAUGUGGAACAAUGAGCCAACUUGGGAACAUCUCACUUGUCUCUCGGAGUUGCGAGUUAACGGCGUUGAUAUGGUGAACACGCUGAUGGGGCCAUUGCUACCUAAAACGCUUGUGAAACUAUGCAUUUGUGGUCUUAAUGAUACAAGCAUUAAUGAGAGGUGGCUUCAACAUCUCACUUCUCUCCAAAACCUUGAGAUUAUUAACGCUCCAAAACUCAAGUCGUUACCAAAGAAAGGAUUUCCUUCCUCUCUUUCAGUACUUAGUGUGACUCGCUAUCCAUUACUGGAAACAAGUUUGCGGAAAAAGCGGGGGAAAGAGUGGCGUAAGAUUGCUCAAAUUCACUCCAUAGUUAUUGAUGAAGAAUUGAUCACAUGAGUCUUGUUCUAGUGAGUCUUGGAAUACUUCUCUUUUUGUUUCUUUCAUAUUAUGUUAUCAUCAAUUAUUGUGAAUUUCUGCAGUAACACCAAAAUACAAUAUUAUAGCUGUAAUUCAAUGAUAUCAUUUAGCUUGGGUGCUUUCCCUGUCCUCAAGAGUUUGUUUAUUGAGGGUUGUAUAAAUCUGAAACCAAUAUUAAUUGCAGAAGAUGUGUCGCAAAAGAGUCUCUCAUUUUUUAGAAGCAUCAAAAUAUGGGAUUGUAAUGAACUUGAGGUAUUUCCCCCUGGUGGAUUGGCCACUCCAGACCUCGUUCAUUUUUCCGUGUGGAAGUGUGAGAAGCUUCCUUUACUACCAGAAAGAAUGCACGCUCUAACUGGUCUUCAAGAAAUGGCAAUUGAUAAUCUACCAAAUUUUCAAGCAUUUGUCAUAGAUGAUUUUCCUAGCAGCUUACAAGAACUGACUAUUGGUUCUAUUGGAGGGAUUAUGCAGAAUUAUGGGCCAGCUUGGAAACAUUUGACUUGUCUUUCAGUGUUGCGAAUUAACGGCGGUGAUAACAUGUUUAUGGGACAUUUUCUACCUGCAUCACUUGUGACACUAUGCAUCUAUGAUCUUAAGGAUAAAGUCAUUAAUGGGAGAUGGUUUCAACAUCUGAACUCUCUCCAAAAACUUGAAAUUGUUAAUGCUCCCAAACUCAAGUCCUUGCCAAAAAAGGGAUUGCCUUCCUCUCUUUCUCUACUAAGUAUCACUUGCUGUCCAUUACUGGAAGCAAGUUUGAGAAGGAAGCGAGGGAGAGAAUGGCGUAAGAUUGCUCAAAUCCCUUUCAUAAUCAUCAAUGACAAAAUGAUCACAUGAAUUUCCUGUCUAGAUCUACAAGGGCUUCAACUGUGAUUGAUGGCUUGCUCCGAGAUAGCGGCAGUGGCAUCUCAGAUUCAGAAAAGGAGGUAUAAACAAGUCUUCUGUUUUCCAAAAAUGUGUGUUUUGGCUUGUCUUGUAUUGGAAAGAUGCAUGUCAUAGAUGCUGCACAAAAUCAUAUAGCUCUAAAGUAGAUAAAGUGAUAGAUUCAUGCACUGCUUGUGAUUACCUGUGAAAACUAUUUUAAACUUGAUACAAGAGAUGACUCCAAGGCUUUUCAAAAACUAGUAUCUUCCUUGGGAUUUUCUCUUUAUGUUCUUUCUGUGGCAUCACCAAAAGGAAUUUACAAGGUUUGUUGUAUCAAGGAACAUAAUCAAGAUUGAGUGCUCGGUCGUAGGAUCAACAAGCAACAUAAUCAAGAACGAGUGCUCGGUCGUAGGAUCAUACGAUGCUACGUGCCAUGGCUUCCGGAGCAUACUACGUUCAGAGCAAGACUGUUUUCUGUUGCUGGCGUGGUCAGGAUCGAGAUAUUGAAGCUGGAUCAUAACUUAGCAGGAUACUAUAAAGUGUUUGUAUUUGCUAAACUGGAGGUAGAUUCGUCAAAUGGUUUUCUCCACAAAUCUAAAUGAUGUCUGGGGAAAUAUGCAGACCUUCGUUGAGAGGUCUCGACAAAAGCCAUGGCACACUCAUUCUAUAUUCCAUGCAUUAAGAGAAGGAGCAUCCAGACCAUGAGGAGUAGAGAGCUAUGCUGGCAAGAGUUUAGUUAAGCAUAUCAACAAUAUAUGCAGUUCUGUUACAGAUAUUGCAGAACCAUUUUCUUGACCUGAAAAGAAGACAUUUCAAUACAUGAAAUAAAUUUCUAUUUUCCCACCUAGAUUUGAUUUUGAAAUAACAGUAGUAAAUCUUUAACUUUUUUUGCUCUAUCUAGAACCCAUAUCAACAGUUCAUCUUGUAAAGUAAACUUUUUAUCGGUCUUUAACUGUAGCCGACAACCAAUACAAUAUAUGAUUGGAGGUAUACUGUCAACUUUCACAUCGACAACUUGAUGAUUUGGUUGUCAUUUGAAAUAUAGAUUUUGUAUUUUUGAAGAGUUUUGGGUAGGGUUUAAAAAAAAUGGAAAGAAUAUGGUGUGUAUGAAUUUCUAUUUCUUCACAUGAAAUAUAUUGAUAUUGUUCAGAUUUUAGAAUCUGACAAUUUUGAAAACACAUCCUAGAUUCUAGAAUCUAAAGAUCAUUUUUGUGAAAACUAGUGGAUUUAAAGAGAUUUAAUUGAUGGAAAAAGAAGCUAUGGCACAAAUAUUGUAGGCUAAAAGUAAGGCAAGUGAAAAUGAUACAUUUGCUAAUCAUAACUUGUUUCAAUUUUCUAUUUCAAUUAAUUAUCAACAAUAAUGUGCAAAAGACUCUUUGCAAUUUCGAUCUUUAUAGUGUAGGAAUGAUUUUUGAGCCUGUCAGGGUACUCAGGUCACAUAUGCCUGUCAUUUCUUCAUCCUGUUUUUGAGCCACUUAGCAAUGAUUUGUUGUUACUUAUUAAACUCAUGUCACCUUAACAAUUGAAGUAAAGGGGUCAAACUUCAAAACUGUGUUGAAACUAAAUGACAAAUUAUUUGAACAGUAACCCUUAAGUGUCAAGACCUAUAAACAUUGUCAUUAACCUUUAUCGUUCACUCUCUUAAAAGUUUAUUUACAAACAAAUCAUUAACCAACU